UACGGAGGGUGCAAGCGUUGUUCGGAAUAACUGGGCGUAAAGCGCAUGUAGGCGGAUUUUUAAGUCAGAGGUGAAAUCCCAGGGCUCAACCCCGGCAUUGCCUUUGAUACUGGAGAUCUGGAGUCUGGGAGAGGUGAGUGGAAUUCCGAGUGUAGAGGUGAAAUUCGUAGAUAUUCGGAGGAACACCAGUGGCGAAGGCGGCUCUCUGGCCCGAGACUGACGCUGAGAUGCGAAAGCGUGGGGAGCAAACAGG
rnacentral:rRNA from 1 species